rnacentral:rRNA from 1 species
GGGUGAGUAACACGUGGAUAACCUACCUAUAAGACUGGGAUAACCUCGGGAAACCGGAGCUAAUACCGGAUAACAUGUUGAACCGCAUGGUUCAACAGUGAAAGACGGUCUUGCUGUCACUUAUAGAUGGAUCCGCGCCGCAUUAGCUAGUUGGUAAGGUAACGGCUUACCAAGGCAACGAUGCGUAGCCGACCUGAGAGGGUGAUCGGCCACACUGGAACUGAGACACGGUCCAG